UCCGUGGCGGACUUCGUUAGCAGUUCAGGCUCCGAGAAGAUCCCGUAUGUGUACAUGCCCAUGAAGCAUCAGCUGGUCCACCCCACAGCUGAGGUCGCCCUUCUAGGUCUGGAACACGGCGGGUCUCCUGUGUUGUCCCCCGUGUGUGUGAUCACCAAGGGCACCAUCCUCACUCAUGAUGGCUGGCAGAAUAUGGCCAACACCUCCACCUUUGAGCCUCCCUUCAGACUGUUUCGGGACAGUGGGA